GUGAUCUUAAAAAAUAAAAUUAGUGCAGAUUAAUUUUAGUAAAUAAUUUUUGGGUUCUGUAAUAUAAUGUCAACUAAGAACCAAAAAUAUAUUAAAUGGAAAAUCCUGUGUUUACAUGAGAGAAUAUUUUAGCAUGCAGAAGCCCUGGGAGGUCAGAAGAUUUAUAGACAGUUGUGACCCACUACAGAGUUCUGGAAACAGAAGUGCAACAAGUGCUCUAAACUGCAGCCACUUCUCCAGCAGCCAAUCCAUAAACUUUAAACUGCACACUGCUCUCUUAAGUAGCAUGAUUAAACCGUUCACUCUGUAGUACCUGGGGCCUGACUUCCUUGUCCAGUGAGUCCAUGCUUUAAGUAUACAGGAUGCUCAUCAGCAAUACACCACAGCCACCAUACUUUUCACAUGCCUUAGUACCUCACUUCUUCUGAAGAAUAUAGGCACUGUCAUCCCCCAAUAUACCACUCAGUACAUGCAGUAAGGUAUUUUGAGAUCAUCUGAUAUCUUAUGUAACUACUAUAGAAUAGCUACCAUUUUAUUACUGCUUUAUGAAAUUAUUAGUUAUCUUCACCUUUACUUAACAUAACACUUUACCACCGCCAUGGAUACACAGGGAAAAUAAAUCUAUGUAUGUCUAUGAAGUCUGAGGAUCAGGCCACUGAUUACCCAAGACGGGAGGGAGGGAAGGAAGGAGGGAGGGAGGUAUGUGUGUGUGUUGCUAGUUUUUAUUGUCAAGUUGGCACACAGAGUCACCUGAGAAGAGGGAAUGUCAAUUAAAAGAACUGCCUAGAUCAGAUUCCUCUGUGGGUAUAGAUAUGGAACACUGUCUGGACUGCUAAUAGAUGUAGGAGCCCAUUGUGAACAAGACAACUUCCAAGCAGAUUAAGUUAUCUUUGACUGUUUGAGAAAGCACGCCAGUGAGCAAUUUUCCUCUAUGGUGCCUGCCCUGACUUCCCUCAAUGAUAUAUUAUUACCUAGAAGUGUAAACCUAAAUAAAUGCUUUCUGCUCCAGAGUGUGUAGUUAAGUGUUUUAUCAUAGCAGUAGACUACACUAUGGCAGAGCUGGUGUCCACAGCUUUAACUGUGCUUUGUUUGCUUGGGUAGGAGAGUGGUCACAUGUACACAGAGAACCUGUGAAUCUAUCUCCUUCUACCAUGUGAGCUCUGGGAAACGGAAUUCAGGCUGUCAAGCUUGGUUGCAGGCACCUUUGCCUGCUGAGUCAUCUAGUCAGCCUUGUACAUGUUUUAAAUGUUAAAAGAUUAAAUUGUUGGGUCAAACAGUAGAAAUAUCCUUUCCAUCUUAAGAACCAGUGGAUCCUGCCCUCUCUGCCUAUCAUUGGAACAACUUCAAACGAAAAGCUGUAAGAGUGGUUUUACAACCUCACCCCACAAGACAAAAGUGCUCAUUCCAUCCACAUGAUAAAAGCCCACACCCGACUGUGCAUUGUGGACAACUGCUAAGUGAAACUGUUUCUUACCUGAGAAAGAGUCGCAUCUGCACAUGCUUUACGGGCAUCCUAUGAAGUAACAAACGGGAAUUAGUUGUGCUCCACACUUUCAAUCUCAGGACGCCUCACAAACUGCCUUCUUCCUUACCUCUUCUCUAAUACUCUCAAGUCCACUGCCACUUUUUAGUUGUUCAGGCCAAAAUAGAUACAACUCACAAUCCCCAAACCUAACUGAGACAUGCAAGACUCCACAGAACUCUGGGGACUCUAGGCAGGCCCAGGAGAAACCACACUGGAAGUUGGUAGAGCAGUGAGCAGCCUGAAAGCGAAGGCUAACUUCCCACAGCCAGCACACACCUGCUCUGUCUUUUCCCCAGUUUACAUCAGAGCACAAGGGGUUGCAAGAAACAGGCUGAAAAACAACUAGCUUUUGAGGCCAAAACCUUCUCUUUGAGAAUGCAUUAUGCAAGGACUUUAUUUUUAAGCCAAACAAUGAGUAAAUCUAAGUUCUAUGAAUAGAACAGGGAUUUAAAAUUGUUAAUAAAAUUUCAAUGAGACUGGUAACAAAAUAGCAGUCUUUUAUAUCUAUGAAACAUACCAAUAUAGCUAAGACCUACAAAAGGAUAUACCAUGGUAAUUUUUCUUUAGUUUUUACCAUAUUAAUUAAAGUGCUUUCACUUAUAAAUAAAAUAAACAUUGACAUCUCAAAAUUGCACAUAUUGUUAAAUAUAAAGAUAUCCAUUAGGAAGGAAAAUGAGACAACUCCAACUCCACUUUUUUUUUUUUUUUUUGGUUCUUUUUUUUUUUUUUUCGGAGCUGGGGACCGAACCCUGGGCCUUGCGCUUCCUAGGUAAGCGCUCUACCACUGAGCUAAAUCCCCAGCCCCGACAACUCUUUUAAAAGGUAAAAUUUUCAAUACAGGCAUAAUUUAAAGGAACUCCUGACAAUCUUGAGCAAGAAACUGAUCGCCUGCUUUCUUUUUUUUUUUUAAAGACUUAUUAUAUUUAUUAUAUAGAAGUACACUGUAGCUGUCUUCAGACACACCAGAAGAAGGCAUCAGAUCUCAUUACAGAUGGUUGUGAGCCACCAUGUGGUUGCUGAGAUUUGAACUCAGGACCUCUGGAAGAGCAGUCAGUGUUCUUCACCACUGAGCCAUCUCUCCAGCCUGAUCGCCUGCUUCCAAAGCGGCAGCUGGCACUAGGCCAGAGUCUUCAAAUGAAGUAGAACAUUCCCAGAUCAAUGAUCUACAACCAACUCCCUCACAGAGCAGGAUUCUUACUUUAUUGAGUCUGUGUGAAUAUCACAAGCUGAUGGCAAGGAAAAUAUACUGAGAUGACCACUACUAUAAGAACAGAAGAAACUUCUAGGUUCCAAAUUCAUCAUUAAUGAAUUUGCUUAUAAUCAAAACAAGUAAUUAUGUACCCAACUAUGUCUACAUAAAAUCUGAGUACAGUGCACAGCGAUGAUUUAGAAGAGCAAAUCGUUGUCAAGGACCUCUUCUCAUGGCAGUAAGUCUAGUGCUUCUAACAAUGUGCUUGUUGAUAUGCAUUAACCUAUAAAGCUAUACAGUAUACCUUUGGGUUUGAAAGAGCAAAAUUUUAUUAAUAAAAAAUGGUAUUUAAGCAGCUUCCUCUUGGUUGGUACCUAAAGACCAAAAUGGUUGAAUAUUUCUGACACUGCGACUACUAACAGAAGAAAAACAAUCACAUCCAGCCAUCUUUGCCUUGGUCACUAGUGGUUGAAAACAGCAGCUCUGACAUUGCUUAAGUGAACACACGUAAUUUACAGAGAGGACAACUUGUGCUAGCCAAUUUUCUCCUUCUACCACGUGAAUCUUAAAACUGAACUCAAGCCAUAGCAAGUUGAUGAGCUGCCUUGCUGGCCUCCCCAAGUGACAGGAUUAAAGAAGUGUGCCACCAUGCCCAGUCAUAAUAAUUUCCUUCCUUCCCUUUUUUCAGACAGGGUUUCUCCAUGUAGCCCAGGCUGGCCCCAAACUCUGCCUCUGCCUCUGAUUUGUCUGCCUCUGCCUCCACAGUGCUGGGAUUAAAAGCCCUCACCUGGCUUUACAGUGAUUUCUUAACGGAUUCAUGUAGACUAAUCCAUUCAAUCAAUCAGUCACUUUUCUGUCCUGUUUGGAUUUGAGUACAAAAACAUCACCACAGAAGAGGCUAACCCAUCUCUUAUGCCAUCUCACACUAAAUUGAGAAGUCUGGGCCCAGCUCAGCUCUGGGUCACUACAUUUUGUACCAUGUGUACAAUGCAACUGGUCACAGUAAGGUAAGUUCCUCUGUAUUUAAGGCAUGUGUAUUUUAAUUAAACAUCUGUUUGACAGCCUGUUUCCUUAAGUUCAACAAAACAAUGAUAGCUUCUUUUUUUUGUUGGUUUGUUUUUCCUUUGUUUUUUCCAGAGGCAGUUUACAUAAAAAACAAAUCAAAGACCAGACAAUACUUCUUUUUACAAUUAACUGCCAUUUCUUGUGUGAUUCACUAUGUAGUCAAACUGAUCUUAAAUUUACUAUGUAUCUAAGGAUGACCUUGAACUCCUGAUCCUCCUGCUUCCACCCCCUAUAAUACACACACACACACCCACAUACACACCCCUACCUGGAAGCUUUUUGAUUUUUAAUAAUUUAAAAAAUAUUAAGAGUAUAGGUGGUGACGACACACACCUUUUAUUCCAGUACACAAGAGGCAGAGGAAAGUGGAUCUCUGAGUUUGAAAUCUCAGUCUGGUCUAUAGAGCAAGUUCCAAGACAGUUAGGGAUACAGAGAAAAACCCUGUGUUGGUGGCAGUCGGGGGACAAGGGAGAAGCAAACACACACACAAAUGCUUUAUUGGUAAAAAUCCAAACAAACAAACAAACAAUCCCAAGAGUGUGAUUGAUGCAUAUCAGUAUAUAUGCUACAGAGUAUGGAGACCAUGGGACAAUGUAGAGACAGUAUUCUCCUUCCACCUCAACAAGGACUCCAGGGAUGCAUCUCAGGUUUUCAGGUUCACACUGUUGGGUGGCAACACAUUUAUUUGAUGAAUUAUCCUAUCUGCUCUGUUUCUAAUUCUGUGUUUGUUUUGAGAUAAGGUCUCUAUAUUACCCUGUCAGUCUUGGAACUUGUUUUGUAGAUCAGGCUGACCUAGAACUCAAGACAUCCACUUAACUUAACCUCCUGACUGCUAAGAUUAAAAGUAUGUGCUACCACAGCCAACCUCUUCCUUUGAUUUUAAGGGAGGCUCUUGUUUUGUAGUGCAGGUUGGCCUGCAAAGUGAAGACAAUCCUACUGUCCCCAGUACUUCCAUGCACGCCAAGCUUCACCACACUAGCAUGCUGGGUACAUCCUGCUAGGAAGGCAUCAGACGACUGAAUUAUGCUUCCAUCCCUUGUACUAAAUUCUUUAGCACGUAGUCAGUAGACAAGUGAUAAAAAACAUUAUACUUUUUUUUCCCUCCCUUAUAUCAUGCCCUUAAAAGAAAGGUUUUUUGCUUUUUAUUUUUAAAUUUAUGUGUAUGCAGGUACUCAUGAAAACCAAAAGACAGUGCUGGAUUCUCUGGAGAUAGGCAAUGCUGGGAUUAAACUUAACCACUUAAGUAUCUCUCUAACCCCAGAUUUUUACUUUUUUAAAGAUUAUUCCUUGCCAGGUAAGGUAGCACACAGCUUUACUCUCCAAAGUAAACUUGGGAGGCAGAGGCAGGGAGUUUGAGGCCAGUAGUCUACAUAUCAAGUUGCAGGGCGGCCAAAGCUACACAAUGAGACCAUGUCUCAAAAACAAACAAAAGUCUUCCCUUCCCAUUUAGAGACUCAAUGGCUUUCACUUCUCCUCACCAACCCACUCUAAAAUUAGUGCAGUGCUGAGAGGCAAGGCAGUCUGAGAGGCAAGGAGAAUGAUGCUCAUCAUGAGGGUUGAAACAGUGGCUCUACAAGGAAUGGUCAAAAUGGUGCUGUCCACACAAGGAUUGGUCAAAAUGGUGCUGUCAGUAGUUGGGCCAUCAACUACUCUGCGCAUGUCAGACACAGUUGAGAGUGAACUGAAGAAUGUCCUUAUAGGGAGGCAUGAGCUGAACUUUAAACCAAAACAAAACUGAAAUAUUGACACAACUGACAAGAUAAAGACAUGUGAACUGUUGUAACAGCCUAGUGAGACUCUAAAGGACAGACAGCUACAUCCUUACAGACAAGAACAUGAAAACCAGAGGAAGCUAUUUCAAAUAUGCAAAGCCUUAUGCAAACUGAAAACUGAAAACUGGGAUUUUCUUGCCUAAUGUCCCUGCUCUUCAGAGUGGAUGCUCCCAUCUGACAACGACCUACAGGAGCCACAAAGAGGGUCCCAAACCUAGUUCCCUGGGGGAAGAAGUCCAAAAGCUUUGAUAGAGUUUACAGAAACACACCAUGCACAUUCGAGCAACAAAUUACAGUUAGUAAGAAAACAAAAUUUCUGAAACAACAUAAUACACUUUAUCUGGACACAUAACUAGCACAUACUACACCAAUCUCAUCUCAUUCUGUUAUCCAUACAACAGGUAUGUUUCUGAUGUGAAACGUAUCAAACACACGCGUGGCUACAUACUCUAAUUUGGUUCUUCAGUUGCUCGGCCUCCUGCCGCAGCUGGUCAAGUUCACUCAUCUUCACGUCUCAGUGCUUUCCACACUUCAGAAUCCAAGCUCUGCAACAGAAACAUGCCGUGAAAUGCGUAAGCUAUGGUAUGACUGGUUAACUGAAAACCUCACAGCAAUAACCUCAUAAAGCAGAGAACUUUCCUGCAGCAUUCAUAAUAACUAUUGAAACCCUAUCUAGAACUGGAUUAAAAACACAAUUCUCAUUUUUUAAAGAUUUAUUUAUUUUAUGUAUAUAAGUACACUGUAAGCCACACCAGAAGAGGACAUCGGAUCCUGUUACAGAUCAUUGUGAGCCACCAUGUGGUUGCUGGGAUUUGAACUCAGGACCUCUGGAAGAGCAGCCAGUGCUCUUAACCACUGAGCCAUCUCUCCAGCCCCCACAAUCCUCAUUUUUAUUAACUGUACUAAUACACUGCUGAAAAUAAUGUGGUGGACUGAGAAAAUUAAUGUCAGUCGCAGUGGUGCAUCCCAGGACUUAGGUAGCUGAAGAAGGAAGAUCUAAUUUCAAUGCCAAUCUGUACCAGAGAUCCAUUCUCCAAUUGAUCAAUCGAUCAAUCAAUCAAUCAAUCAAUAUUAAAACAGCACAAAUCUUUCUCAUGAAAAGAUUCUGAGUCUCUCAGAAAUCAACAACAACAACAACCGUAGAUAUCCAGAAUAGCUACCACACAGAGAAACCAGGAGUAAUUUCCUUUAGAAAUGGGACUGAGGCAAUCUGGAAAACUAGUACUUUGAAGCUAUAGCCAUUAUCAUGAGCUAUAAAGGACAAAGGGACAUUCAAAAGUCUUCUAUUUCCCCCGCAAACCCUAGGCUGAGGAGUCCCAGAAAGCUCAGAAAUACCCUGACCCUUCUAGAAUUGGGCUGAAUAAGGCUAGUCAAAGUGCUGAAUACUCACACCUAGUCAUAGUCAAAGACAAUGGAGAUCAUCCUGUUAUAAAAAUGACUUUUCCAAUGGAGUAUGCAGAAGUUCAGCUUACCUAACAUGCAUGAAGCUCUGGAUUUAAGUCCAGCCCCAAGACAAAUGGGGUAUGGUGGUGUGUAUGUCUAUAAUCCCAGCACUUGAGAAAUAACCAAGAGGAUUAGAGUCUUUUAAGGUCAUCCUUGGCUAUAUAACUUGAGGCCAGCCUGAGAUAUGACUGUUUCAAAACUAAAUAAGCAAACCUGACUUCCUGGGUUGGAGAUAUAGUUCAAUUAGUAGAGUGCUUACCUACAGUGUAUGAAUUCCCACAUGUGGAGAUGCUAACCUAUAAUUCCACUUAGGAGGUGGAAGCAAGAAGUUCACUGUCAUCUUCAGCUACACAGUAGUUUGAGGCCAGUCUGUGCUUGGUGAGACACUGCCUCAAACAAUAAAAUACCUCAGAAUAUGGAAUAUGCCUUUAAUAUGACCUAGCAGUUAAGAGGCAGAAAAGAGAGGAUCUGAAUUCAAGGCCAAUCUGACCUACAUAUCCAGUUCCAGUACAGCCAAUGCUACAUAGAGACCCUGUCUCAAAAAAUCCAAAUCAAAAUAAAACAAAACAAAAAAAAAAGACUUCAUUUCCCCAGAGGAAGUUAUAAAUAGACAUACCGGGGGUUGGGGAUUUAGCUCAGUGGUACAGCGCUUGCCUAGCAAGCGCAAGGCCCUGGGUUCGGUCCUCAGCUCCGAAAAAAAAAAAAAACAUAGCUAAAAUAAAUAGACAUACCUGUGUACCUUCCUGUGUUGGUCUUGAACUAAUAAGCAAAUCUCCUGUCUCAGACUCCCAAGUGGUAGAAGAAUAGGUGUCAUCUACCACUGUACCUGGGGCACACAGGCUACACUUCUGACAAAGAUAUUGGUUAUUAAGCCAAUCACAAAUGCGAUUAAAACACCAUAAAAUUGAAGAUGAAAUUGCUUAAUACCAAUGUAGUAGUUUAUGCAAGAACCUUAAUUCCCCAUGCAAAUUACACAAAAUAUGAGUGUUUUGACUACUGGUAUGUGUGUGUAUAUGUAUGCACACACACAUACACAUUCAUAUACACACAUAACCAUACAUACACACAUACACACACACAUAUAUCCAUACAUACACACAUAUAUACACACAUACACACACACACACACACACACACACACACACACACACACACACACACACACACACAGUGAAUGCCUAAUUUCAGUCAUAUGGUUUGUGAGCUGCCAUGUAGGCACUAGGAAUGAAACUAGGGUCCUCUGGAAGAGCACCAAGUACAUUUAGCUACUGAGUCAUCUCUUCAGCCCUCCCCACAAUCAACAAAACUGUGUAAUACCUAAAGAGGUACAAGAUGGUGGGGAGUGAGGCAGAUACACAUGGAUGCUUGGGUUCAAUGGCCAGUUAAUUUAGUUGAAAUGAAAACCUCUAGGUAAUGCUGCUAUCCUUUAAUAUAGUUCCUCACGUUGUGACUCCCAACUAUAAAAUUAUUUGUGUUGCUACUUCAUGACUAUAAUUUUGCCUCUGUAUGAACCGUAAUAUAAAUAUCUGCUUUCCAAUGGUCUUAGGCCACCUCUGUGAAAUAGUCAUUCGAUCCCAAAAGGAUCAUGACUCACAGGUUGAGAACCACUGCUCUAGGUUCAGUAAGACCUUGUGUUGACAAGUGAGGUCAAUUAAUAAAAUAAGAUACCACGAUCAGCAUGCAUACAUACAUACAUACAUACAUACAUACAUACAUACAUACAUGAGCAUACCUGAAUAAACACAGAAAUUCACAGACUUUAUAAUUAAAAAACUUGGGUAUGAUAGCAUAUUCAUAAUCUCAGAAUUUGGAAGAUAGAGAGGCAGAAAGACUCCUUUUGGAAAUAUAGUGGGCUCCAGGCACCCAGGAUUGUGUACUAAGAUCCUGUCAACUCUUUGUCAAAAGUCAAAGUUAAAAAUAUCAAAUGCUAAACUAACUAAUAUUAUUUUCUUUUCCUUGCACCCUCCCCCAAAAGAAGGUUAUUUUGUGUAGCCCUGGCUGUUCUGGAACUUGCUUUGAAGACUAGGCUGGCUUCAAACUGAGAUCUGCCUUCCUCUGCCUCCCGAGUCCUGAGAUCACUGUUAUUUUCAUUAAGAGUAAAACACAUCUAUAGUAAAUCAUCUGAAUGACCCCAAAACUGUUAUAGUUCCUUAUAUUUUUCUAUUCUGCAAUUCUACAUAUAGGCUCCUGGUAACAAAAUCCCUUCCAACUAAGUGCCUCUGUUGCUGGCAAGACAAAGAAAAGGGUGAAUUCAUUAAGAACUUAACAUGGGGGGGGGGGUCAGGAGGGGAACAAUAUGGGCAACCAAGAAAGGACUACAAGGUAAAGCUGUGCACUGAAGGAGAGGCUUCCACGUUCCUAGACCAGCACCUACCUGUUCUUGCUGCUUACUUGAAAAGCAGGGUAUGCAGCAACAUGGCUUUUAAAAGAUUGCUGACCACAAUGGUAGUCUCAUUUUCUGUUGAUGGUGCUCCUUACCUUGCUUGUCUUUUUUUAAAAUAAAGAUUUAUGUACUUAUGUAUUUAUAUAUUUAUGUUUUAUAUGUUGAGUGUCUGUCUGUAGGUACAGCUACAUGCCAGAAGAGGGCAUCAGAUCCCACCCGGUAUAGAUGGUUGUGAGCCACUAUGCAGUUGCUGGGAAUUGAACUCAGGGCCUCUGGAAGAGUGCUGAGCCAUCUCUCCAGUCCUGUUCUUGUCUUUCUUAAGACAGCAUCUUGCUAGUCUAUUAUGUACUAAAGCUUCCCUUGUCACCCACUCUGACCUUACUCUACUUCCCCAGUGCUAGUAUUACAGGUGUGUCCCACCAUGUCUGGUUUCUUGAGUGGAUGCUUGAUUCAUUAGGUAAGCUUCAACAAGGGAGAUACCUCAGGCCUCCCUGACAUCUCUGGCAUUAAAGAACAUUAUUUACUUUUGCAGAAGACUGAGUCAUUCUGUCUUUAGCACACAAAACCUAAGGACUACAAUUUAGGAGUAUUUUAUUCCUACAUGGCAGAAUAAAAUCCCAAAAGAAUAAAAACACAGAUGGAAAGAAGUACUGCCAUUUUGUCUUGCAUGGGCUUGCUUGCUUUACCUUACAAAGGGUCCAAGUGGAAAUCCUCACUGGCGUUACAGGAUCAUCACCCUUCAGCAUGCUUUCCCUUACUGAAAGUAACUCUGGCUAUAAAGGCCUUCUGCCCAAUCCAGUAUUAAUGUAAAAAAAAGUAGCAACCAAAGUCAUGAGGUACCCGAAUUAGUCUAGUCAACAAGUAGCAGUUGACCAGGACAUAAACACUAAAGCUUUUAUAUCAUGAGACUGAAAACAACAGUGCUGAAACAGUGCUUUAUAAACAGGGGAUCUUUCUGAGCUGCUUCAAAAACUCCGCAGGCAUGGCAGUCACCAAACCACAGACAUCUCGAUAGCCCAUUGGCUCUAUUCCUCUCUAGGUUUCUGGUAAAUCCAUUUUUCUACUUUUUAAGCAAUAUAGCUGGAUAACUGUCACGUAUUUUUCCUGUAGCAUAUAAAGAAAGAAUCCAAUUAAAAGAAAGAUUUUUGGGCUCUGUGGUUCAAGUCCUUUGCUGUGCAAGCCUGAAGCCCGAGAACCUACGCACGUAAAGUUGGGAGGAGAAAACUGCUCCUAAGUAAUUUUCUGCCUCUUACAGCAUGAUUUUUUUAAACGAUUUUUUUGUUUGUUUUUGUUUUUUCGAGACAGGCUUUCUCUGUGUAGCCCUGGUUAUUCUGAAACUUGCUCUAUAGACCAGGCUAGCCUAGUGUGCUACCACCGCUGGGCAGUGGUAGUAAUUUUUUUCUAACUUUUUAUCUAUUUAAUUGUGUAUGGGUAUGUACCACAACACAUAUACCAAGGACAAAACAAGAGGACCUACAAGAGCUGGUUCUCUCCUGCCAUGGUACUUUUACCACCAUUGGUAGCUGCUCUCCCACUAUUGCCUUCUCACAGUCUGAGGGAAGUGCAGCACACAACUGAAGAGUCUGUAGUAAUGCUAUCAACACAACUUCAGUAAUGAAAAACAAAUUAUAUUUAUCAAGUCUUACUUACGUUUAGUCACCUUUGCCUUUCUCUUUAGUGUUGCUAGUCCUUUGGUCCUUCUGGAAACCCCACCAUCAGGUCUGCCUGCCUGGCCAGCUCUUCUCCUCCAGAGCAUGUCCCAGGUAAGCUCUGCCUGUGCUGAGACAGCACUUUCUAGUCUAAUCCACUAAGACCAUCAGGACCUGCUGAGGCCUCAUGACUGCCCAUGACCCACAUCUGCUUUCAGCUUUAAAUUAGAAUUGCUAUAGGAAAUUUAAAUAAUUGAAGAGCAUGAGGCUAAAGAUGUGACAAACGGGUCGAUGUGAUCGAUCUACAAGUAGCAUGCUCUUCUAACUUUAAAUAAAAUGUUAGCAUGAUUAGAACAGUUCACAUAAGUGGUAUGAGGUAUAAAGUCCCCAACUUUGUGACAAAGGCAGUAGCACCAGAGUGCUCCUCUGAUCAAGACCCUGUGAAGGAGUCAUGUCAAGACACAACAGUGACCUCAGGUCCCCAUUAUCACAUAGUUGCUAACAAUGAUACCUGGGCUGCAAGCCUGACACUGAUGAAAAGAUAUCUGCCAUCAACCUGAGAGCCUGGUUUUGACUGUCCAAGAGAAUUAACUCCUUCAAACUGUCCUCUGACUUCUAUGUGUGCAUGCACACUCAAAAACCCUGUAAUUUAAAAUUUAAUGGUGCACACUUUGAAAAAUAAUUUCAAUUUCUCCAACAUACGAAUAGAACCUCACUAAAUCACUUUUAACUCUGGUUUGAGAACAACAUCAGCUGUGAAGCUGGGCAGUGGUAGUACAUGCCUUUAACCUGAAACCCUGCCUUGGAAAAUAAAGAAACAAACAAACGCGGUUGGGGAUUUAGCUCAGCCUAGCAAGCGCAAGGCCCUGGGUUCGGUCCCCAGCUCCGAAAAAAAGAAAAAAGAGGAAAAAAAAAAAAAAAAAAGAAAGAAAAGAAACAAACAUCUAUCUCACAGAGCAAAAACAAAAAUUAAGUGAGAUAAUCAGUCUGGUAUGCCCCCAUCCCAUAAGCCUCUCAAUGAUUAUACUACUUUAGUGUCCUCUUCACCAGAACAAAUCCAAGGUUAAUGACCAACAUUUGAGAAGUCACAUUGACAACACUACUGUCUGUCCUUGUUUGAGAUGGCAUUUUCUUUUCUUCCUUUUUUUUUCCCCCUUGAGACAGGGUCUCACUGUGUAGCUCUAGAUAUCCUGGAACUUUCUUUCUGUAGACCAGGCUAGCCUAUAGCCUAAAGAACUCAGAUAUCUGCCUGCCUCUGCCUCCCAAGUUCUUGGACUAAAGGUGUGUACCAGCCACUACCACCCAGUUUUCAGAUGCUAUUUCCAAUGACAAGAAUUUCUAGGGGGUUGGGGAUUUAGCUUAGUGGUAGAGCGCUUGCCUAGCAAGCGUAAGGCCCUGGGUUCGGUCCCCAGCUCCGGGGGGGGGGGGGGGGAAUUUCUAAAAGAUUUAAAGUUAUGAUUGUGGCUGGGAAUAGUUGGUUAAAUCAAUGCCUUUGAUCCCAGUACUCGGAGGCAAAAGUAGGUAGACCUCUGUGAAUCUAAGGCCAGUCUGGUCUAGAUAUUGAGUUUCAGACUAAGCAUGACUGCACAACGAGAAACUGUUUUAACAUGAAAGGGAGGGAGGGAGGGAGAAGGAAAGUAGGAGAUUAGACCGACUAUAAAGCCAAACCCAAGCAAACAGCAUAGCUGAGUUGCUGCAUAAGAAACAACUGCCCGAGCAGUGUGAAGAAGCAGAGAGGACCAAACCCAUGUGCUGCUGUAUACCCAUGUUUGGCGUCAAUGUCCCCUGCCACCACCAUACCCAAAAGAAAGGCUGGAAGGGACUAGCCACAGAGAAGAUCUGUAUGGUGGUCUGCUAAACCUGAGCCUCCAAGCCUAAAACGGCCCCUGAAGAGAAGGCAGAAAAGGGAGAGAAGGUGACAAAGGGGAAAGCUGAGGCAGUGAAGAUGUGACUAAUCCUCCAGCGAAUGGAGAUGCUCACACUGACCAGGCACAGAAAGCUGAAGGUGCUAGAGACACCAAGGGACGUGUGUGCAGUUUUGUUAACUGUGUACUCCUGGUGACUGUACAGCUGGAAAAUACUAUUUAUCAAGUUUUAUAAAAAAGCAGAAUUUCAUUGGGGGGGGGGGUGUGUGUGUGUCCUGUGUCACUAACGAAAUAUCACCCAAACUGGAUGGAGGACAGAAAACUCUUUCCUUGAUAAUUUUGAAAGGCUCCUGUUGGCUUCCAGGAGAGACAUCCUGAUCUUGCAUAGGUGGCCACCGACGUACAAAAUGCCUUGUGGUCUAGGGAAAACUCUAAAUCCAUUUUUAUAUCCUGUUUCCCCUGUACCAUCAACAUAGACUUAAUUCCCUUAAAACCAGAGACCUGCUGGAACCUGACUCCCAAAAUUGGUUUUCUAGUCUACUGGGUGAUGUGGACUCUGCAGUGACUUCUUCAGUGUCCUCAGAAGAGCACUGGUUCUGUUUAUAAAAGAUAGUGGAUCUUCAGAUUGAUAAUUCUGCCAUGAUCAUUUCCUGAACGUCAGGGUCAGCGUGUGAAAAGUUGUCAAAUACUAUCCUCAGUGUGAAAUGUCAACCCUCACUCUAAGCUACUUUCCCCCUUUCUAAGCACUGAAUGAAGAUUUGAGUUUUUACAUGUAUGUAUGUAUGUAUGUAUGUAUGUAUGUAUGUAUCCAACAUUUUACGAUUUUAUGUUUAAAGGAACAAAGUAUUUAAAAGAGUCUCUUCAAAACAAGCAAAAGCUAGAGAAAUGGAGAAAUGGAUAGGGACAUAUAUAAGAAGACCAGCUAUGAGCUACUGUUGAUUUUAUUUGCUGAUAGUUCUCCAAAUAACUUUUUAAAUUCGGUAAGGUGGGACACACUUCUAAUCUCAGCACUCAAAAAGCUAAAGCGGGCUGGAGAAAUGGCUUAGCAGUUAAGAGCACCCGACUGCUCUUCCAGAGGUCCUGAGUUCAAUUCCCAGCAACCACAUGAUGGCUUACAACCAUCUGUAAAGAGAUCCGAUGCCCUCUUCUGGUGUGUCUGAAGACAGCUACAGUGUACUCAUAUAUAAUAAAUGAAUAAAUAAAUCUUUAAAAAAAAAAAAAGCUAAAGCAAGAGGACUUGAGAACUGCAUCAGCCUGGGCUAUAUAUUAAUGUCUUGUUUCAAACUUCUUUCCUACCACCCCACCCACCCCCAAAUUAUCUGUGGACUUUGAAUCUUGAUUCUUGACUGAAAAUUCAAUUGUAAGAAAGCAAAACAAACAAACAAACAGAAAAUAAAUUCAGCUGUAUAGUCUUUUUCAGAAGGGAAAAAAAUUAGACAGAAGAAAACUAUUGUUUUCCCGCUAGAUAUCCUAACAGAUUUGAACUCCUCACUUGUUACUUACAGCGGGGGGGGGGGGGGGGGGGGGGUGGGUGGUAAAGCCAGAUUUGGGGAUUUGCUUUAAAACAACUUCAAGAAAGUAAAGGAUCAGGAAAGAGAAAAAAGGUGAUUAGCUAUAACUCAGAAUUCUGUAAAUGUAAACUGGGAGAUCAUGUAAUAUGUUCUGUAUGCUUAAAUUAUGUCUUUAUUUUAAUUAUUAUUUUUGAUAUUUUAAAGACAAAGUUUUUAAAAUUUUUUUUUAUUUAUAGCUGUCUUCAGAUACACCAGAAGAGGGCAUCAGAUCUCUUUACAGAUGGUUGUGAGCCACCAUGUGGUUGCUGGGAAUUGAACUCAUGACCUCUGGAAGAGCAGUCGGAUGCUCUUAACCGCUGAGCCAUCUCUCCAGCCCUUAAAGACAAAGUUUUAUGUAGCCCAAUUGGUUUCAAACUCAUUAGGCAGCUAAGGAUUACCUCAAACUACCCCAGCGCUCCUAAUUUGUAAGUUUUUUUAAGUCAGUAUUUUAGCAUUGUUUGACGUGCAUUAAAUUUAUAAUGCAAAUAGACCAAUGUAUCUUAAAAAAAAAAUCUCCAAUUUUAUAAUAAAGUUCUAAAGGACACGAAGCUUGCUGUGCCAACACCUUUUUGUUCCAAUCGAACUGGAGCACACAGCCACGUCUGGUUAGUUUCAUUCAGCCUGGUGCAAUCUCAGUACUUCCCCAAAUUUGUUUAAACAUCUAAAUGGCAGAUCUUGGGGCCUAUAUAUCCAUGUUUCAGAAGUGACAAAAAAAACAAAACAAACAAACAAAAAAAAACCCUAAUAUUCAGGAAUGUUCUUUUAAUUCUCUCAAACUUCUGUUUCUUUUACUACCCCACCCUACUCCCCAAAACACAAUUUGUUUAGCAUCUUGGCUUGCUGCCCACUCCCUCUCUCUACUUUCUCACAGUACAUGAAGGCCAUGGCCAUGGCCAGGUAUCAGCAUGACUUGAAAAGUGGGUAAAAGAAAGUUGUAUGUAUAUAGCACAUGAUUUGACUAAAACAGUGAAAGCUUAACCCUAAACACUCUGUCCUAGGUAUGAUCCUCUGGAAAUUCACCUGAAAUCAAAUGGAAGUGACAACAUGCCGUCUCUGAAGGGAAGGGAGCAGUGCAACCUGUGCUUAGUAACAAAGAUACCUUUUACGGACACAACUGGCUUUUCACCAAACAGCAUGAAAAGCUUUUAAACUCUACCCCUCUGCAGUGGAGACAGGUAUGGUUGGUUUUUUGUGUACUUGUGUGUUAAUGGAGCUAAAUGUCAAGGAUGAGUCCUGAGAAAGGUAAUGCUUCUUUUAAGAAAUUCAGCAAUGGGGCUGGAGAGAUGGCUCAGCGGUUAAGGGCACCGACUGCUCUUCCAGAGGUCCUGAGUUCAAUUCCCAGCAACCACAUGGUGGCUCAAACCAUCUGUAAAGAGAUCCGAUGCCCUCUUCUGGUGUAUCUGAAGACAGCUACAGUGUACUUACAUAUAAUAAAUGAAUAAAUCUUAAAAAAAAAAAAAAAGAAAUUCAGCAAUGCCUUAUUUGCUUAAAUUUUCCUCUACAAACAACGUCCUUCACUCAGCCACAUUGGCUCAAACACUGCUACGGGGCAGAGCACACUACAGUGAAGAUACGUCUCCUGGUCGCCAGCAUAGAGGAAUGGAGAAGGUUCAAAGCUAAAUACCAUGUCCAUUUAAGGAACUGAAUCUGUGAAAGAAAACACACAGAAUCUGUAAUUUCAAUGUUCAGAUCCCAAGCAUUAGCAAUAAAGCGGCUCGGUUUGCCCCCCUGUGGCUCUACUGCCUCAGGAACACUCAUCCUCAGUACUUUAUAGGCCUCCUUUAACCCCAGCAGCAAGUCCUACCAGUCAGUCUCCAAAUGGUAAAAAAGUAAAAAUAAAAAAAAAUUUCUUAAGUCUAGAAGCUAUUUGGGACCUGAAUGAAGCCUUGCUAAACAGGAAUGGAAGGGCGUUGAUACAAAACAAACAAAUAAAAAGCAAACAAACAAACACACAUACACACACUCCAAAACCCUCAGGUCUCAUGUCAUUCUUGCUGGUCUUCAAGCAAUUCUGCCUCAAGCCUUAUAAACAACCAGUACCUGGAACCUGAAAUGUUUUAAGAACACAUUCUAGCUGGGUAGUGGUUCCAACACCUUUAUUCCCAGCUCUCUGUGAGCGUGCGUGUGUGUGUGUGUGUGUGUGUGUGUGUGUCCCCGUCCAUCUGUCCGUCUGUCUGUCUAAAGAUCUCUGUGAGUUCCAGGCCAGCCUGGUCUACAAAGACUGAGAGAGACCGUGACUCAAAAACAAACAAAAACAAACCAAAAAAUCAAGCUUAGCUCCCAGAGAUACAGACCAGAGCUCAGAUCUUAGCACACAAAUACACAGUAACACAAGCUAGGCAUUACUGCAAAUGUCCAACUCCAUUUCUGAAGGUUAAGAUGUGGUAACUGGGGUUUUUCACUCAUCCCCAAGUUCCUCAAAAUAACUACUGAGACUUGUUAUAUAUGAAUAAAUGCUUACAUCAUAAGCUUUGGUUUGUUCCCCAACUAGCUCAUAACUUAAUUACCUGUUUAUUCUAUUCUGUCUCCUCAGAGGUCUUGAGCAAAUCUCCUGCGCCUGACUGUUCCCGACUUAUUCUCUCCAUCUCUCCAUCUCUCCAUCUCCCUCUCCUUCUCUGCCAUAGCUCCCACCUCCGAUUUCUUGCCUCAGCUCAUUGGUCAUAGGAUUUUUUACUGUCAGGUAAAUGCUUUGACACAAUAUGAAAAGAUUUUCUCUACAUAAGACACUCUUUUGGCACACGUGUGUGCACACACACACCCAUACACAAACAUAGAACUUAGAGGACAAAGAGUUUGUAGACUCAGUUUGUAAUACACAAGCACGAGCCCGAGUUCAGAUCCAGAGCAUCCAUGUAGAAAACUGGGCAUAAUAGCGACCAACUACCUAUAUUUCUAGCGCUGGAGAACCAGAAACAAACAAAUGCCUGAAGCUUACUUGCCAGUCAGCCAACCUAACUGAAUUAAUGAAAGAUCCUGUUUCAAAAAACUAAGGUGGAGGGUCUGGGAGAUUCACCAGACAUUAGAAUACAUACCACGCUUACAGAAGACUUGAAUUUAAUUCAGCUUUAAGGCUAUCUGAACCCUCUGGCCUCUCAGGGCACCUAUACUCAAAUGCACAUAUCCAUUCAGAAAUAUACAUACAUACAAUUAAAAACAAAACUUGAAAAGAAAAGCUGUAGAUUAUAAAGGAAGGCACUUGACAUCAAUCUCUGCACUUUAUACACAUGCAUGGACUCACUCACAAACACAAUUUUAAAAUAGAGAAAUGGCAGAACAGCGUUGGUGGUUUACACCUGUAGUCUCAGCAUUCUCAGAGACUGAGGUAGGAAGACUGCUUUGACUUUAAGGCUGAUCUGGACUAUGAGGUGAAACACCAAGGAGGAAUUGGGGGUAAGAGGCUGAAGAGAUGGUUCAAUGGCUGCCACGUGGGGCUAACCAUUGUCUGUUAACUUUAGUUUCAGAGAAUCCAGUGCCCUCCCUGGCUUCCAAAGGCACUACACACAUGCAGUUCACGGACUCACUAUGUGGGUGAAACAUCUAUAGACAUAAAACAGAAAUAGGUACAUCUCUCUAGGGCUGGAGGUAACUGGUUAAAAGCUCUCCCAACAGGGACACAGAACACACCUUUAAUCCCAGCACCUAGGAGGCUGAGACAGGCCAAUCUCUGAUUUCAAGGCCAAACUGGUCUACAUAGUGAGUUCCAGGACAUCCAGAGCUAUAUAACGUGACCCUUUAACCCCUGCCCCACCAAAAACCACAAAACAAACCAACCAAAUUGAUGAGUAGCAAUUAUACAUGUAAGUUACCUUGACUCAGAAGUGUUUCUGGUCUGGUUCCCCACACAUGUAAGUCUAUCUGCAACAACAGAAAAGGUUGUUUUAUCAUAUUGGGGCUGGGCUAACAGCUAUAUUAACUACAUUUUAGGAAAGAGCACACAAAUCAUCCUCUUUACUACUUUCUCCCCCAAUAAACUGCUUUACUCAUUAUAGCAUUCAAUUUGUUUAACAUUGAAAAAUAAAAAAAUAGCCGGGCAACAGCAGUGCAUACUUUUAAUCCUAGCACUUGGGAAGCAGACAUAGGUGGGUGGAUCUGAGUUUCAGGCCAGAGUACACAGAGAAAACGUGUCUCAAAAAACCCAAAACUAACAAACCAAACAAACCCUAAGCCAUGAAAGAUAAAAACUGGAGAGCAGUCAUGGCGGUACAUACCUUUAGAAACACUGCACUCAAAUACAUUUGUAAAAUUAAAAAAAAAAAAAAAAAACUACAUAAUGCUUUAAAAAUAAAAACAACCCACUGUAUUCAGAUCUGAGUUCAGCCUGUUCUACACAGUGCUGUCUCUGAAUGAAGGGAGGGAGUAAGGAAGGAGAAAGAGGAAGGAAAGGAAAGGAAGGACGGGAGGAAAUCACAAAAACACUAAACAAUUAAACAGAGAGACAGGCACUGGCAAGAUGGCUCAGUGAGUAAAGAAACUUGCUGCUAAGCCUAAUGACCAGAGUUCAAUCCUUGGAAGCCAUAUCAGGUAGAAGAACCAACUCCCAAAAGUUGGUUCUGACCGACCUACCUACCUACCUCCCUACCUACCUACCUACCUACACACACAGAGGCAUGUACACAGCAGACUAUUCCAUUCCUGAGAAGUCACACUAGGCAAAUCCAUAGAGACAAAAAGCUCGAGUUGCCAGGGGUCAUGUAGGAAAAGUGAAAUUGUACUGAGUACCUCUAGGGCUUUCUUUUUGGGGUGACAAAAAUAUAAAAUUAAGUAGGGAGGUAGUUGUGCAAUAUUGUGGAUAUACUAAGUGCUACUAAAUCAUUCUCUUUAAAAUGCUUUAAUUUUCUAUUAUGUGAAUUCCGCCCCAAAAAAGAAAAGGUGGAGGUUGAAGUGGAAGUGGGGAACACAAGUUAAUCAGUAAAAGCAAGUUACAUCCACCUCCACAAAUCCUCUCUGAAAAGGUCCCUUAAGUACAUGCCUAAAGAACCAGUAAAUCCUUAGUCUGAAGAAAGGUCUUAACCCUGGCACCCUGAUGUUUAAUUAUUUUUUUUGUUCUUUGAGACUGAAUUUCUCUGUGAAGGCCCAGCUGUCCUGGAUGGAACUCUUAUAGACCAUGCUGGCCUUGGAACUCAAGAAAUUCUCCUGCCUCUGCCUCCCAAGCAUUUCUUUCUUUCUUGAGGGCUUUGUUUUUUUUUUUUUUCCGGAGCUGGGGACCGAACCCAGGGCCUUGCGCCCUGGUGUGUUAAAUCCCCAGCCCCUUGUUUUGUUUUUGAAACAGUUUCAUUAUGUAGCUCUGUCUAGUCUGGAACUUGCUGUACAGACUAGCCUGCCUCUACCUCCUUCCAGAAAACAAGGACUAAAGGUGUGUGCCGCCAUACCCACCAUACCCAACUUACCUGGUUUACUUUAGGUGAAGUUACUCUUUGGGAAGGGUGAGUUGUUCAGCAGCUGGCAGGUGUACAGCAGACCCAGCUUUUACUGUCUGCUACAGCAGUACCACUAGCCUAGCCAGCCCAAGGUAAGAAAGAAUUCCUCUAUAGUCAAGUGGUGGUGGGCCACAUUAGGUUGGCAAAGGCAGACAAAUCUGAGUUCAAAGUCAGCCUGGUCUACAGAGUGAGCUCCAGGACAGUCAGGGCUGAACAGAGAAACCCUGUCUCUAACCCUCCCCAAAAAGAAUCCCUCUAUAAAGUAAGUGCAUAAUUAUCCCAAUCUCUACAGAAAGCUUUUCCUAGGCAUUUUAUAAAGGGACAAAUCACAAUUUGUUCUAUCUGAAACACAGGAGUCCCUGGGGAAUUCAAGCACUCCAGUCUUUCACAAGACACUAGGUAACCACAAUUACACAAGGUGACUGUGUACAUUUGCCAAUCUUGCGGCCAUGCUACUCCUCCCUGGAAAAAGAUACUGCUUAACUGUCCCAAUAGCUCUGCCUCAAGCCAUCGCAGUUGACUUAUUUGUGGUUAAAUAAGAUCCAACUGCAGUUUCUUCCAUGGAUUAACCAGUUUGUAGCAAUCAGAACUUAGGGUAUGACUCCUAGUGCCACAGAAAGGUAAGGAAAACCUGGAAAACCAAAUUUAAUAACAUCAAAGCCACUACCCAAUAUGCUCCUAUACAGCUACACUAUCUAGUCUGUGGUACUGUGGGAAAGUGUUACAUUACAGAUGUCUAUGUGCUGACAACAUUGAGAGCCUUAUCUGCUGCCCAGUCCAUAGGAACCUUCACAGAACUAGGAGCCAUAAAGCCAGGCAGGCCGGCGAAAACAACACUGCGGAGAUACAUGUGCCAAAGACAGGCAGCAUAAAGACACAGUAAGAGACUAGUUUUUCUUUUUAGAAAGAAAGUAGCCCACUGUAGAAACUGGAAGUAAAUGGUAUAAAUUACAAAGGUUACGUUAAAAUGGCCGAGUUGUGGUUCAGGGUUAGUAUACAUAGGCCCUGGAUUCCACUUCUAACACAGACACAGACACAGACACAGACACAGACACAGACACACACACACACACACACACACACACACACACACACACACACACAC